UACGAAGGGGGCUAGCGUUGUUCGGAUUUACUGGGCGUAAAGCGCACGUAGGCGGAUUUUUAAGUCAGGGGUGAAAUCCCGGGGCUCAACCCCGGAACUGCCUUUGAUACUGGAAGUCUUGAGUAUGGUAGAGGUGAGUGGAAUUCCGAGUGUAGAGGUGAAAUUCGUAGAUAUUCGGAGGAACACCAGUGGCGAAGGCGGCUCACUGGACCAUUACUGACGCUGAGGUGCGAAAGCGUGGGGAGCGAACAGG
rnacentral:rRNA from 1 species